rnacentral:rRNA from 1 species
GACGAACGCUGGCGGCGCGCCUAACACGUGCAAGUCGAACGGAGCUGAGAGAAGCUUGCUUUUCUUAGCUUAGUGGCGAACGGGUGAGUAACGCGUGAGUAACCUGCCCUGGAGUGGGGGACAACAGUUGGAAACGACUGCUAAUACCGCAUAAGCCCACGAUCCGGCAUCGGAUUGAGGGAAAAGGAUUUAUUCGCUUCAGGAUGGACUCGCGUCCAAUUAGCUAGUUGGUGAGGUAACGGCCCACCAAGGCGACGAUUGGUAGCCGGACUGAGAGGUUGGACGGCCACAUUGGGGCUGAGACACGGCCCAGAAUCCUACGGGAGGCAGCAGUGGGGGAUAUUGCACAAUGGGGGAAACCCUGAUGCAGCGACGCCGCGUGGAGGAAGAAGGUUUUCGGAUUGUAAACUCCUGUCGUUAGGGACGAUAAUGACGGUACCUAACAAGAAAGCACCGGCUAACUACGUG